rnacentral:rRNA from 1 species
AGAGUUUGAUCCUGGCUCAGGAUGAACGCUGGCGGCGCGCCUAACACAUGCAAGUCGAACGGCACCCCUCUCCGGAGGGAAGCGAGUGGCGAACGGCUGAGUAACACGUGGAGAACCUGCCCCCUCCCCCGGGAUAGCCGCCCGAAAGGACGGGUAAUACCGGAUACCCCCGGGCGCCGCAUGGCGCCCGGGCUAAAGCCCCGACGGGAGGGGAUGGCUCCGCGGCCCAUCAGGUAGACGGCGGGGUGACGGCCCACCGUGCCGACAACGGGUAGCCGGGUUGAGAGACCGACCGGCCAGAUUGGGACUGAGACACGGCCCAGACUCCUACGGGAGGCAGCAGUGGGGAAUCUUGCGCAAUGGGGGGAACCCUGACGCAGCGACGCCGCGUGCGGGACGGAGGCCUUCGGGUCGUAAACCGCUUUCAGCAGGGAAGAGUCAAGACUGUACCUGCAGAAGAAGCCCCGGCUAACUACGUGCCAGCAGCCGCGGUAAUACGUAGGGGGCGAGCGUUAUCCGGAUUCAUUGGGCGUAAAGCGCGCGUAGGCGGCCCGGCAGGCCGGGGGUCGAAGCGGGGGGCUCAACCCCCCGAAGCCCCCGGAACCUCCGCGGCUUGGGUCCGGUAGGGGAGGGUGGAACACCCGGUGUAGCGGUGGAAUGCGCAGAUAUCGGGUGGAACACCGGUGGCGAAGGCGGCCCUCUGGGCCGAGACCGACGCUGAGGCGCGAAAGCUGGGGGAGCGAACAGGAUUAGAUACCCUGGUAGUCCCAGCCGUAAACGAUGGACACUAGGUGUGGGGGGACGAUCCCCCCGUGCCGCAAGCCAACGCAUUAAGCGUCCCGCCUGGGGAGUACGGCCGCAAGGCUAAAACUCAAAGGAAUUGACGGGGGCCCGCACAAGCAGCGGAGCAUGUGGCUUAAUUUGAAGCAACGCGAAGAACCUUACCAGGGCUUGACAUAUGGGUGAAGCGGGGGAGACCCCGUGGCCGAGAGGAGCCCAUACAGGUGGUGCAUGGCUGUCGUCAGCUCGUGUCGUGAGAUGUUGGGUUAAGUCCCGCAACGAGCGCAACCCCCGCCGCGUGUUGCCAUCGGGUGAUGCCGGGAACCCACGCGGGACCGCCGCCGUCAAGGCGGAGGAGGGCGGGGACGACGUCAAGUCAUCAUGCCCCUUAUGCCCUGGGCUGCACACGUGCUACAAUGGCCGGUACAGAGGGAUGCCACCCCGCGAGGGGGAGCGGAUCCCGGAAAGCCGGCCCCAGUUCGGAUUGGGGGCUGCAACCCGCCCCCAUGAAGUCGGAGUUGCUAGUAAUCGCGGAUCAGCAUGCCGCGGUGAAUGCAAUCCCGGGCCUUGCACACACCGCCCGUCA